rnacentral:rRNA from 1 species
CCUACGGGUGGCAGCAGUCGAGAAUCAUUCACAAUGGGGGAAACCCUGAUGGUGCGACGCCGCGUGGGGGAAUGAAGGUCUUCGGAUUGUAAACCCCUGUCAUGUGGGAGCAAAUUAAAAAGAUAGUACCACAAGAGGAAGAGACGGCUAACGCUGUGCCAGCAGCCGCGGUAAUACAGCGGUCUCAAGCGUUGUUCGGAAUCACUGGGCGUAAAGGGUGCGUAGGCUGUUUCGUAAGUCGUGUGUGAAAGGCGCGGGCUCAACCCGCGGACGGCACAUGAUACUGCGAGACUAGAGUAAUGGAGGGGGAACCGGAAUGCUCGGUGUAGCAGUGAAAUGCGUAGAUAUCGAGAGGAACACUCGUGGCGAAGGCGGGUUCCUGGACAUUAACUGACGCUGAGGCACGAAGGCCAGGGGAGCGAAAGGGAUUAGAUACCCCAGUAGUC